rnacentral:lncRNA from 1 species
AAUCGGAGUCGACUUUCUUUACGACGUCGUUUCCUUCGUCAGGACCGUCGGAUGAAGAGCGAGAAAGUGCGUAAAGCUCCCACUGAGAGAAUUUCUUCAUAUCUAUACUCACGCACGAGUUGAAGUUCAAUGCCGGAUUACUACCGUUACCGUUACCGUCAAGUGAUGGUUGAUGAGUGUGGUGUGGAUGAUCGGAAUGGAGGAGGAAUUCAGGCGGUGAGUUGGCUGGAGAAAUAAUAAGAGUGAAAGUUGGUGAUGACACAAGAAAGAGAGACAAGAGUAUGUAACCGAUGUCUUUUUCAGCUUGAUUUCCACGUGUCUGGUCAUACUCAUGUAAUCCUUGUUUUCAUUAUCAUUUUUUAUUUUUUGAAAAGUCAUUAACAGAAAGAUCAUUAUUACUUAGGUU